rnacentral:rRNA from 1 species
KGGYGUGGAUCGGCAUGCAGUCACGGGGGCCGCAAGGCAACCGGCGAACGGCUUAGUAACACGUAGGUMCWUACCCCAAAGUGGAGUACAGCUCGUCGAAAGACGGGGUAAUUCUCCAUAGUCUCGCAAGAGUAAAGCAGCAAUGCGCUUUGGGAAUGGCCUGCGGCCUAUCAGAUAGUUGGCAGGGUAACGGCCUACCAAGUCUAUGACGGGUAGGGGGCGUGAGAGCGCGACCCCCAAGAAUGGCACUGCGACACGGGCCAUACUCCUACGGGAGGCUGCAGUCGAGAAUCUUCCGCAAUGGACGAAAGUCUGACGGAGCGACGUUACGUGAAUGAAGACGCCCUUCGGGGUGUAAAGUUCUUUUCUCUGGGAGGAAGCCGCAAGGCAGACAGUACCAGAGGAAUAAGAGGGUCCUAACUCUGUGCCAGCAGGAGCGGUAAUACAGAGCCCUCAAGCGUUACCCGGAUUUAUUGGGCGUAAAGGGUCCGUAGGUGGUAAAGUAAGUUGAAAGUUAAAUCUCAUCGGCUCAACCUUUGAGAUGCUUUCAAUACUGCUAUACUAGAGGAUGUUAGGGGUGAACGGAACCGACGGAGUAGGGGUGAAAUCCGUUGAUAUCGUCGGGAACACCAAAAGCGAAGGCAGUUCACUAGGACAAUCCUGACACUGAGGGACGAAAGCGUGGGGAGCAAAAAGGAUUAGAUACCCUUGUAGUCCA